rnacentral:lncRNA from 1 species
CUGACUGACCCUCUGAUCACUUGUACUACCACCAGACUGACUGACCCUCUGAUCACUUGUACUGCCACCCUGCUGACUGACCCUCUGAUCACUUGUACUAUCACCAGACUGACUGACCCGCUGAUCACUUGUACUGCCACCCUGCUGACUGACCCUCUGACCACCUGUAUGACCGCCAGUGCCUGGAGAAUGAGCUUCUGUGUCAUCUUGUCCAGUGUCAGAGUCAGGAUUCAAGAUGAGGGUUAGAGAACUGUCUGUGUUUCGGAUCAGUAAGAAGGUUUUGGCGAGGGGUGAAGGCAGGGUUACUGAAUAUGUCGGGACUCCAGCAGGUACAGGUUUGCCAGUGGGGGUGAGUUUUAAUUGAGGUUCGGGGUCAGAGGUUAUUUCUAAGAUGUAGGUGUUCUUAUAGAUGGUGCAGUUUUCACGUUUGGAAGAUUUGAAGCUCAGUGUCAGUGUGGAGUCAGUGUUAAAGGUAACACUGGUAAAGGUAAGGGUUACAGUCGGGUUAGUGUGAAGAGUAAGGGUUACUCUUGGAGUUAGGACCUGGUCUAAAGGCAGUCUUAGGGUCUGAGAGGAGUCAGGGUUCUGCCCAUUGACUGGGCUUUGUUCUGUGAGAAGGUAAAGGCUCAGCAUUAGGGUACAGUGUUUAUAAUUGGUUCUGAUCAGUUGCAGGUUCAGAAAGUAGGAGCAGGGUAAAGGGAACUUGGUUUCAGAGGUGCAGAGAAUUUGAUAUUCCAGCAGUCUAGUUACUACCUCUGGACUAAAGUGUAUGGGUUUAUUUUGAGUCUCUUUGGAUUCAUUUUUAUUCUGUUCAUACAGUAUCUCUUCGAUCAGUCUGACCUCAUGCUUGGCACGUUCUUCUGCAAACUUCCUGACACUCUCCUCUCUCUCCUUCCUCAGUGCCUUCUUGUACCUGACCUCAUAUUUCUGUUCUGGUUCUCUACGGCACACAUCCAUGAAAUAAAAGAAGUAUAAGACAGCAACACCUAGAACAAUGCCAAAUCC